CAAUAGCGUAUAUUAAAGUUGUUGCGGUUAAAAGCUCGUAGUUGGAUUUCUGUUGAGGUCGGCCGGUGUGCAUUACGUGUAUUAUCAGGUUUGGUCUUGGCAUCCUCUGAGGCACGAGGGACUUUAUUGGCUCUCGAGUUUUCAGACUUUUACUUUGAGGAAAUUAGAGUGUUCACGGCAAGCAAGCGCUUUGAAUACAUUAGCAUGGAAUAAUAAUAUAGGACCUUCGUUCUAUUUUGUUUGGUUUCGUUAGAACUUAGGGUAAGUAGAUUAAUUAAGGGACGAAUUAGGGGGUCGAUUCGUUAUUAACGCGUCAGAGGUGAAAUUCUUAGAUUGCGUUACGGCGAACUACUGCGAAGCAUUUGCCAAAGAUGUUUUCUAUUGAUCAAGAACGAAAGUAAUGGGGAGUCGAAGAUGAUCAGAUACCGU
rnacentral:rRNA from 1 species